AUAUUCUGUAUUUAAUUAGGAUCUUGUUUCCUAUUGUAAUCAGAUAUCUUAUAGGAGUCCAAUAUCUUGUUUAUUACUUACCUUAAUGUAUAGGGAUGUAUCAAUAUAUAUUCCUCCUUAUGGAGAAGAAUAAAAGUAUCACCAUAUUCUAAGCCAUCAGUUCUGAUAUGGUAUCAGAGGAUGUUCGAUCCUAACUCUUAGGACAACACUCUCCUACCUUUGAAUCCCGAAUUCCGAAUCCGAAUUUGUCCCGAAUUUCGAAGUGUUCAUCUGCAAGUACAGAUCCUGAAACCCGAAAACAAAUCCUCAUUUUGAAUCAUGGCCAUUAAUUGACGAAACCACCAAAGUACUUCCAUCCUCAUCUGAAUCACCAGUUCCACCAGUUGUUCAUGUUCAAUACCACAAAGAUUCUUCACCAUUCCCUACAGGAGUCAUCCUCGAUGAGACCAACUAUUCUCUCUGGUCUCAGGUUAUGGAGAUGCGUAUUGGUGCUCGCAAUAAAAUGUGCUAUCUUACCGGAGCAGCAGCCAAGCCACCACUUGGAGAUCCCAACUAUGAUACGUGGGUCACUGACAACCACAAAGUCAAGUGUUGGCUUAUUGAUUCAAUGAUUCCAACACUUAUGCAGAGGUUCAUUCGACUUGGUACCGCUCAGGAAAUCUGGGAUGCCGUUUCCAAAACUUUCUAUGAUGGGUCUGAUGAAACUCGGAUUUUCGAAUUGAAUCGGAAGUCCUUCACUACUCUGCAAAAUGGGAGACCUCUCUCUACAUAUUACAAUGAAUUGAUCGCCAUUUUUCAAGAGAUUGAUCACAGGAGCACAACUCAAGAAGACACGGUCGCGGGAGUGACUCAACUCAGCGCCGCAAUGGCCCGACUCCGGGUCCAUAUUUUCUUGAGUGGUCUGGACUCUGAUUUUGAUCAGAUUUGUGGAGAAAUUUUGCGCAAAGAGCCCAAAUUAGAUCUUAAGAGCAGCUAUGCUUAUGUCCGCAUGGUGGAUCAGCAAAAGAAGACUAUGGGUAGCUGUCCAGCAGUUUCUGAAGGCUCGGUAUUAGCAGUUACUCGUCCUAGACAAGGCCUGCCUUCUGGACCAUCUUCAGCCAAACCCAGUGCUUCCCCACAAAAUCCUCGGCCUCGGUACAAUUCUUCCCUAUCUCGGCCUGGAGGGUUAGUUUGUCAGCAUUGUGGGGAAUCAAGUCAUUCUAAAUGGAAGUGCUAUGAGAUUAUUGGCUAUCCAGAAUGGUGGGAUUUCGCCAAGAAGCCUCGGAAGAAUCUUGGAGGCAAAGCUGCAAUAAAUACUUCUGAAACAUCUCCAGAUCAAGGAAAGGCACAAGCAACCGCUAAUGUGACUCAGACAGAUAAUCCCGGUAAGACUUUGAAUGUUACUGCUGUUUCUAGUAAUACUACUUGGAACACAGGUGCAUCAGAUCAUAUGACGAAUGACCCAACUAUACUUCAUUCAAUCAAACCUUCAUCUCAGGCCAUCAUUUCUACUGCUGAUGGUAGUCCUUCUCCAGUUUCUGGGGAAGGUUCUGUCACUCUUUCACCCUCUCUUACUUUGGAUACUGUUCUUAUUGUCCCAUCAUUAGCUUAUAGUCUCUUCAGUUAUCUGUUGGCCAAAUCACUAUGGCCCUAUCCUGUUUAGUAAUUUUUUUGGCCUUCCUUUUGUAUACUUUAGGAUAUCCUAACCCGGAAGAUUCUUGGCUAUGGUGUUAGAAGGGGAAACUUGUACUACCUGGACUUGACAGAUAAAGGCAAUCAGAAAUUGGGAUAAGCACACAAGACAGGGGGAGUAGAAGAAGCAAGAGCAGUAGUUUGGUUAUGGCAUCGACGUUUAGGCCAUCUUUCUUUUGGAUAUCUUAGGAAACUACAACCACAUUUGUUUUCAAUGGUGAAGUAUUCUACCUCUCGGGUGCUACUUAUUUUGUUACAUUUAUUGAUGAGUGUACUCGAAAGACUUGGGUUGUGUUACUAAAGCAUAAGGGAGAAGUCUUUAAAGCCUUUCAGGAAUUCCAUACAAUGGUCUCUUCUCAAUAUCAAAAGAAUAUCCAAGUUUAUCAGAAUGGCGGCGAAUACAUGAGUAAUGCAAUGGCUGAUUUUUGCCGCAGUCAAGGAAUUCGUCACCAAACCUCAUGUUCCUAUACACCACAGCAAAAUGGGCUAGCGGAACGAAAUAAUAAUCAGUUGUUGGAAGUCCUUCGUGCCUCUCUCUUUGGUAUGAAUGUCGCUCGUGAAUAUUGGGGUGAAGCAUUGAAGUCUGCAACUUAUCUUAUCAAUCGCACUCAG